rnacentral:sRNA from 1 species
AUUGUGUGAAACUUUAUGUCCUGAGCUGAGGUUCUCUUCUUCCAAAUUUCUGAACAAGAUGGUCAGCUUCUCCAUAGUGUCUACACCUAGUACUGAAAAUAUGAAAAUUGCUUAGGCCAAAGAAUGGGCUUUUCAAUAGCACACUGCAAAAUUGGGCCCAAGUAUUUAAAACAUCUCUAAAAAAUAUCUAGGUUGGCAGGUUUUUAUCCCUAGUUUUAACAGUCUGAAAGAGGGUUCGUUACUGAGCACUGGAAGUGAUGAAGACAGAGUAGCCACAACAUAGGGGCUGGUAGGCAGCAGAGCCUCACCAACAGCUUUAAUUUGUGUGGUGUCUUCACAGGGCAACCCUGGGAACGAUGGUCCCCCGGGUCGCGAUGGUCAACCCGGACACAAGGGAGAGCGCGGUUACCCUGGCAAUAUUGGUCCCGUUGGUGCUGCAGGUGCACCUGGUCCUCAUGGCCCCGUGGGUCCUGCUGGCAAACAUGGAAACCGUGGUGAAACUGGUCCUUCUGGUCCUGUUGGUCCUGCUGGUGCUGUUGGCCCAAGAGGUCCUAGUGGCCCACAAGGCAUUCGUGGUGAUAAGGGAGAGCCCGGUGAAAAGGGGCCCAGAGGUCUUCCUGGCUUAAAGGGACACAAUGGAUUGCAAGGUCUGCCUGGUAUCGCUGUAAGUAAACUGUAGCCAUCUCGCACAUAAACUGAUCCUGAAGGCCUUCAGCUCAGAAGGAUUUUCAUAUUUUCACUGCUAUUGUUCCAGUAUAGCCUAUAUAAUAUCCAUUUCCCAUUCUCUGGCUAACUCCAUCUCACUCUUGGAGGUAAUGCUAUUUCAUACCAACAUGAAAGGUGAGGAUUAAGGGAGAUAGAAA